AGACCAGCUGCUGCAGAAGCCCAGCGGCAUCGUCGUGUUAUCAUCGACCCAUCCGGUUACCAGGUCGUACACACGAUUCUGAACAGAGCGACGAAUGUGGUAAUUUUACGAAAUGUGUUUAUUUUUUUGCACUUAUG